GAGAAAACUCAGCUCUUAGGUUGCCUGACAGGGGUAUGAAAACAAAAGCUGGCUUCUCUACCCUCGUCCAGCUCAGAUUGAGGCAAGAUGAAAAGCUGAGUUUUGGGUUAGCCUUCUGGCAUGCUUUUGACACCAUUACAAUUUCAGGUGGUCACUCAGGAAGGAGCAGCUGGGAUUCAAAUCAUCACUGAAGAUAAAAGCCCUCGCAGACAGAAGGACACCAAAGUCCUUCAGAGCACGGCCACAGGAAAUACUGGUCACCAUUUCAACAGCUGUAAAACUGGAUGUUGCAGGUGUCUUUCAUUGACAGCUGCAAUUCUACUGAUGCUGUGCAGCACAGGAUGUCCAUUCUCAUACGUUUCAAGACACAGGAAAUGCAACUCAGUAUCUGAAUGCAUAAGAAGG
rnacentral:lncRNA from 1 species